rnacentral:rRNA from 1 species
GACGAACGCUGGCGGCGUGCUUAACACAUGCAAGUCGAACGGAAAGGCCUCUUUCGGGGGGUACUCGAGUGGCGAACGGGUGAGUAACACGUGAGUAACCUGCCCUUGACUUUGGGAUAACUUCAGGAAACUGGGGCUAAUACCGGAUAGGAGCUCCUGCUGCAUGGUGGGGGUUGGAAAGUUUCGGCGGUUGGGGAUGGACUCGCGGCUUAUCAGCUUGUUGGUGGGGUAGUGGCUUACCAAGGCUUUGACGGGUAGCCGGCCUGAGAGGGUGACCGGCCACCUUGGGUCUGAGAUACGGCCCAGACUCCUACGGGUGGCAGCAGUGGGGAAUCUUGCACAAUGGGUGGAAGCCGGAUGAAGCAACGCCGUGGGCGGGAUGACGGCCUUCUGGUUGUAAACCGCUUUCGCUCGUGACGAAGCUUUGUGUGACGGUAGUGGGUAAAGAAGCACCGGCUAACUACGUG